UACGUAGGGUGCAGGCGUUAAUCGGAAUUACUGGGCGUAAAGCGUGCGCAGGCGGUCUGCUAAGAGAGGUGUGAAAUCCCCGGGCUUAACCUGGGAACUGCGCUUGUUACUGGCAGGCUUGAGUGUAGCAGAGGGGGGUGGAAUUCCACGUGUAGCAGUGAAAUGCGUAGAGAUGUGGAGGAACACCGAUGGCGAAGGCAGCCCCCUGGGCUAACACUGACGCUCAUGCACGAAAGCGUGGGGAGCAAACAGG
rnacentral:rRNA from 1 species